rnacentral:rRNA from 1 species
ACUACGGGUGGCAGCAGUGAGGAAUAUUGGUCAAUGGGGGGAACCCUGAUCCAGCGACGCCGCGUGAGUGAAGAAGUAUUUCGGUAUGUAAAGCUCUGUCAGCAGGGAAGAAAGAAAUGACGGUACCUGACCAAGAAGCCCCGGCUAACUACGUGCCAGCAGCCGCGGUAAUACGUAGGGGGCAAGCGUUAUCCGGAAUUACUGGGUGUAAAGGGAGCGUAGACGGUUAAGUAAGUCUGGAGUGAAAGGCCGGGGCCCAACCCCGGGACUGCUCUGGAAACUAUUGAACUUGAGUGCAGGAGAGGGUAGCGGAAUUCCUAGUGUAGCGGUGAAAUGCGUAGAUAUUAGGAGGAACACCAGUGGCGAAGGCGGCUUACUGGACUGUAACUGACGUUGAGGCUCGAAAGCGUGGGGAGCAAACAGGAUUAGAUACCCGGGUAGUC